rnacentral:lncRNA from 1 species
GGAGUGAGGAGUGAGGAGUGAGCAGGUGAGGAGUGAGGAGUGAGGAUUGAGGAGUGAGGAGGUGAGGAGUGAGGAGUGAGGAGGUGAGGAGUGAGGAGGUGAGGAGUGAGGAGAUGAGGAGUGAGGAGGUGAGGAGUGAGGAGUGA